rnacentral:rRNA from 1 species
UACAGAGGCCUCGAGCGUUAGGCGGAAUCACUGGGCUUAAAGCGUGUGUAGGCGGACUUCUAAGUGCCUUGUGAAAUCCCACGGCUCACCCGUGGAACUGCUGGGCAUACUGGGAGUCUUGAGCCACCUAGGGGCGAGCGGAACAAAUGGUGGAGCGGUGAAAUGCGUAGAUAUCAUUUGGAACGCCAACGGAGAAAUCAGCACGCUGGGGGUGUGCUGACGCUGAGACACGAAAGCCAGGGGAGCGAACGGG